UGAUCGGGUGGUCGAUGGCGGGCAGGCCGGCCUGGUGGGUCAGCAACCACCGGACGGGGAUGCGUUCCUUGCCGUUCACC
rnacentral:tRNA from 1 species